ACGAAACCAAAUACACACCACCGUGUAUUUUGAAUCAUAGUUUGUAUUUAUUUAUUUAUUUAAAUGUUUGUUUAACCUUCACAGACGCAUCAGACAGUACUUAUUCGAGGACAAGAUCCCCUGCUGUCUAUUGAGAGAUGCACAGUGUGCUGCAUAAAAUACCACUGUGCCUACUGCCUACUGUAAAUUGGUGUUUAACCAUUUACACGAGCUCCAAAAUCAUGUAGCUAAUCACAUGCAAAAUGCAGUUCAACAAGAAGAUUUGACCAUCAUCAAGUCUGGUCUAAACUGCAGACCAUCACCACAUUUUCACUGCUGCUAUUGCACUUCAACAGUAAUCAGAUGGGAUGGUAUUAUUAAACAUUUUAAAACCUGUAAAAACAUCCGGACAGCCUCCAUUGCCAGCAGCACCACCUCCAUCCCUAUAGCAUCAGCAGCACCACCUCCUUCCCUAUAGCAUCAGCAGCACCACCUCCAUCCCUAUAGCAUCAGCAGCACCACCUCCUUCCCUAUAGCAUCAGCAGCACCACCUCCAUCGCCAGCAUCUGCAGCACCACCUCUAAAAAUAUUACGUGUCCGGCAACAAAUCAGGGUGACUUGCACACACUUUGGAAUUCAGAUGUAUCAAAGGAACUUGCUGGUUCAUAUUAACAAAAGACACUGGCAAAAGAAAAUUGGUGAAUUCCAUUUCUCCAGGCCAUUGGAACAUGUCUGUACUGACAGAUUUUGAGGUACAGCUUUUUAACUUCUUUGCAUGUACCUCUUUAAUAUCUGUAGUGGAGAGUUAUGAAAGAAUACAGUACAUAUUUUUUAACAAAACUAUGAGCAAACAUAAAGGUUUGCCUAAACAUUGAACAAAAAGUCAUUACCGUAGGCCUACUUGACAGCUACAUUCUGUAUUUAUUUGUGCAUCACUUCAGUUGCUAGGAAUUAAUUGUGGGUAUUCAUAUUGAUGGUAAGUGGUCUUAUAAUUGCUGUACAGUUGUCUUGUUGUGUGCUAACCACAAACAUUUCUUAAUAUAGUUUUGGUUUCGUAUUUCUGUAUGCACUCUGUUAUGCUCUCAAGGCCAUUUGAUUUUGCUUUGGUAAGUUUGCAUCCAUUUAUGGUUAUUUGUUAAGCAAGAAGGACUGAGAACACCAUCAAAAGAAUAAAAAAAUGAUUCAGAUUUUCAGUUGCUAUCUUUAAUCAGUCUGACAUACAAUCAGAAAGUGGUAGUGCUAUCAGUUAAUUCAGGCAUUUCCUCUGACAAGGUCAGAUGAUAACUAUAUUUUUGGUUAAAACCUCCAUAAUGUGCAUUUCCAGUAUGCAUGCAGUAUAUAAAAAUAAAAUAAUGCACACCUAAAAACAUUGUAAUGUCUGUCACGUUCCACAGUCAAAUCCCACAGCCAGUUGCCCAAGAAAGAAAACUAGCAAAACCAGAUGAAACAGAAGUCAUUCCACCUGAGUCAGAUGUCAUGGAGAUUACCCAAACACCAAGAAUAUCUGUAUGUAGAGGACAUCUUUAUGUAUUGCGUGACUAUUGUAUGUUUAUAUACUGUAUACCUAAGAUUGAACUGCCAAAGAUUUUAAGAAUGAAGGAGGAUGAUGCCUUGUUGGCUAUCACAAUUUUUGACUUAUUUAUAAACACAUUAUAUGAAGGUGACAUGGAUGAAGAAGAAAUCCGGGCUCCUUUCUUAUUCACUUUUCAGAGACUAGAGGACAUGGAAUUUGCAGGAAAUACGAGACAAAAGAAAUAUCCUUGUGUCCUAUUUCUUCAACCCUGACUUGUGAAUAUUGUGGGAUGUCGUAAAUAUUAUAAAUGUAAAUAUUGUAUGUAAAUUUCAUUUUGUUUUUGUAAAAUAACA